ensembl:misc_RNA Metazoa_SRP Metazoan signal recognition particle RNA
GUAGGGUUGUUGUGAUGCGUGCCUAUAGUCCCAGCUACUCAGGAGGCUGAAGCGGAAGGAUGUCUAUAGCUCAAGUGUUCUGGGCUGUGGUGUACUCUGCUGGUUGGGUGUCUGCACUAAUUUAAUAUGGUGGCCUCCCGGGAGUCUGACACCAACAGGUUGCCUAAGGAGAGUCAAACUGGCAAACUGGCACAGGUCAGAAAUAGAGCAGAUCAAAACUCCUAUGCUGAUCAGCAGUGGAAUCAUGCCUAUGAAUGGCCACUGCACUUUAGUCUGGGCAACAUAGCAAGACCCAUUUCU